rnacentral:lncRNA from 1 species
AAUGUUUGGACUCCAUAGUUCUGAAAUUCCACUAGCCACAAAAACUGGCAUUCUUGGCCACACUGUGGCCAGCCCCAACAGAAGGGAAUGCAGAGGACUGUCCACAAUAGCACAGGACCCAAAUAGAGCAAUGUCUUGUGAGGAGAGAGUUGCUGCUUUGAAUCCUCAUGAACCGAGAAAGCCCUCAAAAUCCCAGUCUCCUGUUUGGCAGUUUUUAGCUACCUUCUGAAUUCGUGUGCCAGGAGAGAUGCUCAGGAGGGUGUUUGCAGAGCACAGCUCAGCUGCCAUCCCCCAGACCUGUCCUUCCCACUUCAUACUAAGGAGCCGGUAUUUCUGCAGAUCGUGGUGCAAGCUGCCAUCUGGUGGAUGUUGCUGGAGAGCAGAUCAUUUAAGUAAAUGAAGACUAGACAUGGCAUACACAAACACCUUGCUCUGAGGCAGUCCAAAGGACUUGGGAGUCUCUUCUAUGUUUCUGCUUUGGAUGAAGUGCACCAGAAUCAAACACCAAACUUCCGAAAGUUCUCAGCUGCCUGCAUUGCCCACUGUAAUGUUUAUCAUCACCUUUACACCAGGAAUUGUACCCAUCACUUCUUUGAUAACAGGAUGGCAUCUGUAGUGCCUGAAAGGCAAUUGAACCAUUUUGUAAAUCAACUCGCAAUUCAAUAAUGAAUAUUUUUGUUCAUGGCAGACUGAUCAUGACAGAGUUUCAAGAGUAGUUAUUCAUAUUCAGUAGCCCUCCACAUUGUAAAAGCUACUGCAAACUCUCUGCAAAGCACCAGUGAAGCUGAGAAACUCACCAUGUAACCCAAUCAGAGAAAUGAAAGCAAUAAAGGAAUGAAGGAUAUGUUAUAAAUUGACCUG